ensembl:lncRNA
GUGUUGCUGCACAAUGUCUAAGGAUCAACAGUCAAAACAUCAUUUUAUACUUCCACUACGCCCAAAAGAUAGAGGCGUUAAGUUACAAAGCAAGUGUGCCAUUGGCCCAAUCCCAGUUCUAUUCCUUAUAAGGAUAACUGCAAGUAUCCCUUUGUCCCCCUUGUGGUUUCUGUGUUGUCUGUCCGACUAUGUGUGUGUCUCUAACCUGUGUCCUGUUUAUCAAAAGACAGACAUACUAAAUCUUUCUCUCCCCGGCAACCACUUGAACAGGGUUUCCUGUUCUCCUACUUGCAACUUCAGUUUUAGCUCAUAUUACAAACAAUUAAUAUUUUCCUUCAUUGCUUACAACAGUUCACAACAGUUCACUAACUUAUACAAUCAAUAUAUCUACAAUGGUCAUACCACAGAAACAACCUGUUCCUUAUCCAUCGUGCCCCGUUGUGUAUAUGCCUCUAUCCUGUCCUAAGACUGAUUUUCUACAUCUACCCCCAUCCUGCUAAAGAUUCACGUUUACCUCAGCACCUCAUACUUCCUUUACCACAACACAACCAACAUUCCUUUUCUUAUCUAAACAUGGGUACUCAAUACUUUAAUCAAUAAGAAUGCAUCCGUUCAAGAAACUUUCAUAGCAAUAGGCAUCACAACAAUGUUAGAGUUUUUAUCAUUCUACAUUUCAGACCGUAGUAUGAAAUGAAAAUUGCCAGACUUAAAGCAAGCAAAAUAUAUAUCCCCUCAUGAUGUACAGACAUAUCUAGAGCACCUGAUAUGUCAAGACUUACAACACAAGUGAAAGAUGAUAUGUACUACAGCCCUGCUCCAGCGAUACUGUCCUGGUCGUUUUCAUUCCAACACCAUGUACAGUGGGGCAAAAAAGUAUUUAGUCAGCCACCAAUUGUGCAAGUUCUCCCAGUUAAAAAGAUGAGAGGCCUGUCAUUUUCAUAAUAGGUACCCUUCAACUAUGUAGGAUUUUUAAUGAAUUCAUUGGUAAAUUCCUCGAUAAAAUAAGUAUUUGGUCACCUACAAACAAGCAAGAUCCAAAGAACACCAUACCUACUGUGAAGCAUGGGGGUGGAAACAUCAUGCUUUGGGGCUGUUUUCCUGCUAAGGGACCAGGACGACUGAUCCGUGUAAAGGAAAGAAUGAAUGCGGCCAUGUAUCGUGAGAUUGAGUGAAAACCUCCUUCCAUCAGCAAGGGCAUUGAAGAUGAAACGCGGCUGGGUCUUUCAGCAUGACAAUGAUCCCAAACACACCGCCCGGGCAACGAAGGAGUGGCUUCGUAAGAAGCAUUUCAAGGUCCUGGAGUGGCCUAGCCAGUCACCAGAUCUCAACCCCAUAGAAAAUCUUUGGAGGGAAAGUCUGUGUUGCCCAGCGACAGCCCCAAAACAUCACUGCUCUAGAGGAGAUCUGCAUGGAGGAAUGGGCCAAAAUACCAGCAACAGUGUGUGAAAACUUACAGUAAAUGUUUGACCUCUGUCAUUGCCAACAAAGGGUAUAUAACAAAGUACUGAGAUUAACUUUUGUUAUUGACCAAAUAAUUAUUUUCCACCAUAAUUUACCAAUACAUUCAUAAAAAAUCCUACAAUGUGAUUUUCUAGAAAAAUAAAUCUAAUUUUGUCUCUCAUAGUUGAAGUGUACCUAUGAUGAAAAUUACAGGCCCCUCCUCUUUCUAAGUGGGAAAACCUGCACAAUGGGUGGCUGACUAAAUACUUUUUUGCACCACUGUAUAGGUAAACUAUUCACUCAUGAAAUACAAAUGAAUUAGGAAAUGGAAACGUGUACAAGCAAAAUAAACACUUGGUCACAA